UACAGAGGGUGCGAGCGUUAAUCGGAAUUACUGGGCGUAAAGCGUGCGUAGACGGUUUUGUAAGUCGGAUGUGAAAUCCCCGGGCUCAACCUGGGAAUGGCCGUUGAAACUGGCGAACUGGAGUGUGGCAGAGGGGGGUGGAAUUCCGCGUGUAGCAGUGAAAUGCGUAGAGAUGCGGAGGAACACCGAUGGCGAAGGCAGCCCCCCUGGGCUGACACUGACGCUCAGGCACGAAAGCGUGGGGAGCAAACAGG
rnacentral:rRNA from 1 species